UGCAAGUCGAGCGGACAGAAGGGAGCUUGCUCCCGGAUGUUAGCGGCGGACGGGUGAGUAACACGUGGGUAACCUGCCUGUAAGACUGGGAUAACUCCGGGAAACCGGAGCUAAUACCGGAUAGUUCCUUGAACCGCAUGGUUCAAGGAUGAAAGACGGUUUCGGCUGUCACUUACAGAUGGACCCGCGGCGCAUUAGCUAGUUGGUGGGGUAAUGGCUCACCAAGGCGACGAUGCGUAGCCGACCUGAGAGGGUGAUCGGCCACACUGGGACUGAGACACGGCCCAGACUCCUACGGGAGGCAGCAGUAGGGAAUCUUCCGCAAUGGACGAAAGUCUGACGGAGCAACGCCGCGUGAGUGAUGAAGGUUUUCGGAUCGUAAAGCUCUGUUGUUAGGGAAGAACAAGUGCGAGAGUAACUGCUCGCACCUUGACGGUACCUAACCAGAAAGCCACGGCUAACUACGUGCCAGCAGCCGCGGUAAUACGUAGGUGGCAAGCGUUGUCCGGAAUUAUUGGGCGUAAAGGGCUCGCAGGCGGUUUCUUAAGUCUGAUGUGAAAGCCCCCGGCUCAACCGGGGAGGGUCAUUGGAAACUGGGAAACUUGAGUGCAGAAGAGGAGAGUGGAAUUCCACGUGUAGCGGUGAAAUGCGUAGAGAUGUGGAGGAACACCAGUGGCGAAGGCGACUCUCUGGUCUGUAACUGACGCUGAGGAGCGAAAGCGUGGGGGAGCGAACAGGAUUAGAUACCCUGUGUAGUCC
rnacentral:rRNA from 1 species